UACGUAGGGUGCAAGCGUUGUCCGGAUUUAUUGGGCGUAAAGAGCUCGUAGGCGGUUUGUCGCGUCGGAUGUGAAAACCCGGGGCUCAACCCCGGGCCUGCAGUCGAUACGGGCAGACUAGAGUGCGGUAGGGGAGACUGGAAUUCCUGGUGUAGCGGUGAAAUGCGCAGAUAUCAGGAGGAACACCAAUGGCGAAGGCAGCACUCUGGGACGGUACUGACGCUGAGACGCGAAAGCGUGGGGAGCAAACAGG
rnacentral:rRNA from 1 species